AUUGAACGUUGGCGGCAGGCCUAACACAUGCAAGUCGAACGGCGGCGGGGGAUAGCUUGCUAUCCUGCCGGCGAGUGGCGGACGGGUGAGUAAUGCAUGGGGAGCUGCCCAAUCGAGGGGGAUAACAACUGGAAACGGUUGCUAAUACCGCAUACGCCCUGCGGGGGAAAGGUGGGGACCUUCGGGCCUACCGCGAUUGGAUGCACCCAUGUGGGAUUAGCUGGUUGGUGAGGUAACGGCUCACCAAGGCGACGAUCUCUAGCUGGUCUGGGAGGAUGACCAGCCACACUGGAACUGAGACACGGUCCAGACUCCUACGGGAGGCAGCAGUGGGGAAUAUUGCACAAUGGGGGAAACCCUGAUGCAGCCAUGCCGCGUGUGUGAAGAAGGCCUUCGGGUUGUAAAGCACUUUCAGUGGGGAGGAAGGGGAGUAAGCUAAUAACUUGCUUCAUUGACGUUACCCACAGAAGAAGCACCGGCUAACUCCGUGCCAGCAGCCGCCGUAACAC
rnacentral:rRNA from 1 species